UACAGAGGUCUCAAGCGUUGUUCGGAUUCAUUGGGCGUAAAGGGUGCGUAGGCGGCGCGGUAAGUCGGGUGUGAAAUCUUGGAGCUUAACUCCGAAACUGCAUUCGAUACUGCCGUGCUUGAGGACUGGAGAGGAGACUGGAAUUUACGGUGUAGCGGUGAAAUGCGUAGAUAUCAUGAGGAAGACCAGUGGCGAAGGCGGGUCUCUGGACAGUUCCUGACACUGAGACACGAAGGCCAGGGGAGCAAACGGG
rnacentral:rRNA from 1 species